rnacentral:rRNA from 1 species
GACGAACGCUGGCGGCAGGCCUAACACAUGCAAGUCGAGCGGAGCGGCGGACGGGUGAGUAAUGCCUAGGAAUCUGCCUGGUAGUGGGGGAUAACGUCCGGAAACGGGCGCUAAUACCGCAUACUAUCAGAUGAGCCUAGGUCGGAUUAGCUAGUUGGUGGGGUAAAGGCCUACCAAGGCGACGAUCCGUAACUGGUCUGAGAGGAUGAUCAGUCACACUGGAACGUAGACAGGCUCCAGAUUCCUACGCGAGGCAGGAGUGGGGAAUAUGGGACAAUGGGCGAAAGCCUGAUCCAUCUAUGCCGCGUGUGUGAGGAAGGUCUUCGGAUUGUAAAGCACUUUAAGUUGGGAGGCGUUACCAACAGAAUAAGCACCGGCUAACUUCGUGCCAGCAGCCGCGGUAAUUC